rnacentral:rRNA from 1 species
AUUGAACGCUGGCGGCAUGCCUUACACAUGCAAGUCGAACGGCAGCACGGGGCAACCUGGUGGCGAGUGGCGAACGGGUGAGUAAUGCAUCGGAACGUACCUUUCAGUGGGGGAUAACGUAGCGAAAGUUACGCUAAUACCGCAUAUUCUGUGAGCAGGAAAGCAGGGGAUCGCAAGACCUUGCGCUGAUUGGACGGCCGGUGUCAGAUUAGCUAGUUGGUGAGGUAAAGGCUCACCAAGGCGACGAUCUGUAGCGGGUCUGAGAGGAUGAUCCGCCACACUGGAACUGAGACACGGUCCAGACUCCUACGGGAGGCAGCAGUGGGGAAUUUUGGACAAUGGGGGCAACCCUGAUCCAGCCAUGCCGCGUGAGUGAAGAAGGCCUUCGGGUUGUAAAGCUCUUUCGGCCGGGAAGAAAUCGCACGGGCUAAUACCCUGUGUGGAUGACGGUACCGGAAUAAGAAGCACCGGCUAACUACGUGCCAGCAGCCGCGGUAA